rnacentral:lncRNA from 1 species
GAGGCGCGGUCACCACAGCAGGUUAGUGUGCCCCCGCAGGACCAUGUGAACAAGGACAGGGACAAGCGUGCGAUGAGUGUCUUCAUCCGGGUGCAGAGCAGAAAUACCUUGACUAAGGUGUGCCGGGGGAACAGAGAACACCAGAGGCUUGCCGGGCACUGGGCUCUAUUGAGGGUUAUCCAAGUCGACUACUUGACAUAUACGUAAUUGCUCUCCUUUCUUCGCCGGCAACCACAUACAUUUCGCAAAAGAACUAGGAUGAGGGCCAGGACCAAGGAGCUGCAUGUAACACGCUGGCUUGCUUCUGGUGGCUUCAGCCUGGGGCACCGCUUGUGACAGUUUCUCAUGUGCGGCAGGAAUGCUCGGCUGUGUUUUGGCGCCAGGAGCAGCAGCAGCAGUGCAGGCGCCCAUGCAUGUUCCAGGAGGAGGACGUGCAGGGUGGUAAGUGCAGAGCCAAGGCCUAGCCUAGGAGUGCCUGAGGCGCUGUCAACCCAAACUGACACUUCAGAAUCCUGGCCCCAAGCGGGCCUGUGCACAGUUCCUGACAGGGCUUCUUAGGUCUGCCUUCGGUUUAUAGGGCUUUGCGCUAAGUUUUCAGGGCUAUUCCGCCCACACCGCGCCUGAUCCCGGUCAUGGGUCGGGGUUGCCCAGGGGCUGCCAGUAGCCGGGCAAAUUAUGACCAAGGACGCAAGGAGCCCACGAAGGAGAGUAAUGAAGGUGAGGAGCAUGUGGAGGUUAGUCGAUUAGAGAAGAGUAGGUUCAAGGACGGUGCACUGGAGUACCAAGUAAGGUUUGAUUGUAUUGUAGCAGAUGCAAGGUAUGGUAGGUGAGUCCUGAUGCCUUCAGAGCCAACAAG